rnacentral:rRNA from 1 species
CCUACGGGAGGCAGCAGUGGGGAAUUUUGGACAAUGGGCGCAAGCCUGAUCCAGCCAUGCCGCGUGUGGGAAGAAGGCCUUCGGGUUGUAAACCACUUUUGUCAGGGAAGAAACGGCUUUUUCUAAUACAGAGAGCUAAUGACGGUACCUGAAGAAUAAGCACCGGCUAACUACGUGCCAGCAGCCGCGGUAAUACGUAGGGUGCAAGCGUUAAUCGGAAUUACUGGGCGUAAAGCGUGCGCAGGCGGCUUUGCAAGACAGAUGUGAAAUCCCCGGGCUCAACCUGGGAACUGCAUUUGUGACUGCAUGGCUAGAGUACGGUAGAGGGGGAUGGAAUUCCGCGUGUAGCAGUGAAAUGCGUAGAUAUGCGGAGGAACACCGAUGGCGAAGGCAAUCCCCUGGACCUGUACUGACGCUCAUGCACGAAAGCGUGGGGAGCAAACAGGAUUAGAUACCCUGGUAGUCCACGCCCUAAACGAUGUCAACUGGUUGUUGGACGGCUUGCUGUUCAGUAACGAAGCUAACGCGUGAAGUUGACCGCCUGGGGAGUACGGCGCAGGGUUGAAACUCAAAGGAUUGACGGCUUGGNGAGNGCGAGGACGACGACGAGGGAGGAGG